rnacentral:rRNA from 1 species
GAUGAACGCUGGCGGCGUGCCUAAUACAUGCAAGUCGAGCGGACGGACGCGAAGCUUGCUUCUCUGAUGUUAGCGGCGGACGUGUGAGUAACACGUGGAUAACCUACCUCUAAGACUGGGAUAACUUCGGGAAACCGUAGCUAAUACCGGAUAAUCUUUUGAACCGCAUGGUUCAAAAGUGAAAGACGGUCUUGCUGUCACUUAUAGAUGGAUCCCCGCUGCAUUAGCUAGUUGGUAAGGUAACGGCUUACCAAGGCACCGAUGCAUAGCCGACCUGAGAGGGGGUUGGGCCCCACUGGAACUGAGACGCCGUCCUGAGUCCGACGGGAGGCAGCAGUAGGGAAGCGUCGGAAAAGGGCGGAAGCCUGAAGGAGCAACGCCGCGUGAGUGAUGAAGGUCUUCGGAUCGUAAAACUCUGUUAUUAGGGAAGAACAUAUGUGUAAGUAACUGUGCACAUCUUGACGGUACCUAAUCAGAAAGCCACGGCUAACUACGUG